GCCUUAGUGAGCAUCAGAGGUGUGAUACGGUCACAGCCAAGGACCUUUUUGUUAUAUAGGCGGGAGAUCGUUGUCCAUGGAUAACGGUGCGAUCAUGGGGGGAAGAUAACAAGGAUGCUUCAUCGUGUACCUGAGAAAAGAACUCACAAUCAACAAGGGCUUCUGGCCUCACAAGGUCGAAAGCAUGAAUUGUGCCACCAAUGCGUUCUUAUCAGAAAGCUUCAACAGCCACAGUCCAAACUAUCGUAUGAUGAAAGAGGGGCGAGGUGUACCAACCUCGUUGGAGGUCAGUCGCUUCAGUUUCACGUCUGAGGAAAGCAGGAUGCGAUAGAAAGCCCGUCUCCUGUAGCCGAUAACGGACCCGAUGGCCAGAAGAUAGUAAUGAUGCAACACAAGCACCAUAAUUUAACACGCACUGUGGUUUUGUACACGUCCGCACUUUAUGACGAUUAGUUUGGUACGCAGUUGUAGAAUAAAAAGUGACUGGUUGUGAAAGAUUGAAUUUCGCUAAAAAAGGUCGUUCUCUUGUAUCCAUUUGCGAACCUUCAUCAGCCUAAUCAGCGGCGAGGCAAGAGUUUCAUGACUGAAUAUAUCUACCCCGCUUGUUGCACGCGUAUUUACAUAUUUAUAAAAUAUACAAAAAUAAGGG